GGUGCAAUCACAAACUGGAAAAGAGAUCCGGUAUUAACCCAAUAGUGGGAGAAGCGGUCGCUUGCAACGUUAUCGAUUGAAAGCCUGGGCGGAUGCUCAUUGCAGGAGAAUCGGACCAGGAGACCUUUAAUAGUCCAUCCCAACUCAAACGAUUCUACGAUUCCAUGACUUUCCUUUCCGUCCAGCAGCUCCGAGCUGUCACUUCGUGCUGUCUUCACCA
rnacentral:lncRNA from 1 species